rnacentral:rRNA from 1 species
AUUGAACGCUGGCGGCAGGCCUAACACAUGCAAGUCGAGCGGAUGAAGGGAGCUUGCUCCUGGAUUCAGCGGCGGACGGGUGAGUAAUGCCUAGGAAUCUGCCUGGUAGUGGGGGAUAACGUCCGGAAACGGGCGCUAAUACCGCAUACGUCCUGAGGGAGAAGUGGGGGGACUUUGGACCCUCCGCCUUUAGGUGAGCCUAGGUCGGAUUAGCUAGUUGGUGGGGUAAAGGCCUACCAAGGCGACGAUCCGUAACUGGUCUGAGAGGAUGAUCAGUCACACUGGAACUGAGACACGGUCCAGACUCCUACGGGAGGCAGCAGUGGGGAAUAUUGGACAAUGGGCGAAAGCCUGAUCCAGCCAUGCCGCGUGUGUGAAGAAGGUCUUCGGAUUGUAAAGCACUUUAAGUUGGGAGGAAGGGCAGUAAGUUAAUACCUUGCUGUUUUGACGUUACCAACAGAAUAAGCACCGGCUAACUUCGUG